CCCGGGUCUUGUACACACCGCCCGUCGCACCAUGGGAGCGGGAUGUACCAGAAGUAGGUAGGCUAACCGCAAGGGGGCCGCUUACCACGGUGCGUUUCGUGACUGGGGUG
rnacentral:rRNA from 1 species